UAUCAUCUGUUUCUUAAAUAUUUAUUGAAUUUGACCUUUAAGUGAAAAGGCUUAAAUAAAUCAAAAAGACGAUAAGACCCUAUAAAUCUUUACAAGAAAUAUAUUUUAUGUUUUAACUUAUAAGUGUAUAAGAAAUAAAAAUAUAAGUUUGUUGCGCUGGGGCGGCGUAGAUAUAUAAAUAAACUGUCUAUGGCUUAAAUACAAUAAUUAUUGCUUAAUACAUAUUGAUCCUUAAAUAGAUUAAAAGAUUAAGAUACUUUAGGGAUAACAGCGUUAUUUUUUCUGAGAGUUCUUAUCGAAGAAAAAGUUUGCGACCUCGAUGUUGAAUUAAAGUUUCUUUAUGGUGUAGCCGCUAUAAGAGAGAGUCUGUUCGACUUUUAAUACUUUA
rnacentral:rRNA from 1 species